UUUAAUGAGAUCUUCGGAUUGGCCUCCCCUGCUGUCUUUGACAGCAUCGCGUGGCCGAAAAGUUGCUCGAAUUUGAUCAUUUAGAGGAAGUAAAAGUCGUAACAAGGUUUCCGUAGGUGAACCUGCGGAAGGAUCAUUAAUGCUAAAGUUGUGAUGAUAACUACACUGUGAAUCGGUCGGUGGCACGAGAUGACGAUGUGCGUGCUUGUACGCAGCCAGACGACAGAAAGCAGUCAGACCUGCCCCUCUGCCGUUGCGGCUCCCUACUACUGCGCACAUCGCGUCGUUCUUUUUGCUCAUACUGUAUGUAAUGAAAGCAGAGUACCAAUUGUGAAUUGAGUAAGAGAAAAACUGCUGACGGCGGAUCUCUUGGUUCGUGUAUCGAUGAAGAACGUAGCCAGUUGCGAAAAGUAAUGUGAAUUGCAGAAUGAAGUGAAUCAUCGAAUCUUUGAACGCAAAUUGCACUCUUUGGAAUUCCAUUGAGUAUGUCUGUCUGAGUGUCUUGACAAACCUUACACCCCGGUGUGAACUCGGGCUUCUGGUCUCUCUCGCGGAGACUCGCGCCUGCAAGAACGUACUCAACGCUUGAGACAACAACGUAAGUUUGAUCUUAGACAAGCUAGAGUCUCUCACCAAACAUGGACCUCAGAUCAGGCAAGACUACCCGCUGAAUUUAAGCAUAUUAAUAAGCGGAGGAAAAGAAACUAACUAG
rnacentral:rRNA from 1 species